rnacentral:lncRNA from 1 species
CUUGCACAAAAAGUGGGCAUCCCAAUAUGUUUUGGAGUGUGAGUUCUUUCACAAAGAAGGACUCUUCCUUCUUUUCUGCAUCCACAUAUCCCAAGAUGCCAUCUCAUGGUGUGUCAAACAAAAGAAUGCAUGGAAAUAAGAAGGAAUUUAAGAGGAGUAAUCAAGAAGGACUCCUUCUUAACGACUAAAAUAAAUGGGGUGUGGCUUUUAAUUCUUGCAUG